AUUUCUUCUGGAGAUCUCUUUUCUGGAGUUUUGUAGUAAGCCCAGGAUACAGGUUCAAAAACAGAUGGAUUUUCAGAGGUGCUGCAUGCUUCUAUCUCCUACAGAAACUCUGAUGGACCCAUGGAAGAUGAAGGUGCAGUAUGGACAUUCCCACCUGUGUGUGAAUUGCAUUCAUUGCUCUCACUAGCAGAAGAGGAAAAUGAUUCUGCAGCUCUACUCAGUGACUAACAUUUGUAUUUUCAGAAUUCUAUUUGUAUUUUGAAUUUCUCCUGCUGCCAAAUUUACUUGAAUCUGGCAUAUAAAUUAAACAAAGAGUAGGAAGCAGGGAGGGGGCUGACAGAUAAGAUGAAUGGAUAGAACAUGCAAAUGCAUAAGCUUCAUUUCCUCAGAAAAAUAGAGUAAAAGAAUGUCUGCAUGUACUUGUUUGAGGGUGUACUUACCAGUAGUUUCAGAACCAGCACUAGUUCACAUUAAGAGAGCAGAUGCAGAACAAAUCACAUGAUAGAGACCAUUACAUUUCUUUUUAUGAGAUGUUAUUUUGAACUAUUGCCACCCAGGGGACACAAAAAAGAAACAGGUAGGGAAAAAUGAGAAAAAGUCCAGUUCUGGAACGAAAGAUAUAUGAGAAGAGCACAAAGUUUGUGCAAGAGGGCUCCUGUCAGAAUUUUCACUGAAUGUACUAAUGCCAGGGGGUUUACUAACAACAAGGGACUCAAAGGACUAAAGCUUAAAGUUUCAGAGGGAGAAAUCACUGGCAGCUCCUGCUAACUUCAGAUGAAACUGCAUCUGAGACAAAUUGAAAUCCGUGUAAAUAUAUGUUUUGUUCUAUUUAUCAGUUAGAACAACAAAAAGAAACUCCAUGCAAAUGGAUCCUGAGAUCUUUUCCUAAUUUUUGAAAUACGUUGCAUAUCUAACGUACGUACCUGAUACUUUCCAAGUUGCAUGCAAAUAUAAAAUCACAGCUUUCAUCUGAAAAUGAUG